UACGUAGGGGGGCAAGCGUUGUCCGGAUUUAUUGGGCGUAAAGAGCGUGUAGGCGGCUUUACAGGUCCGUUGUGAAAACUCGAGGCUCAACCUCGAGACGCCGGUGGAAACCGUAAAGCUAGAGUCCGGAAGAGGAGAGUGGAAUUCCUGGUGUAGCGGUGAAAUGCGCAGAUAUCAGGAGGAACACCCGUGGCGAAGGCGGGUCUCUGGGCCGAAAUUGACGCUGAGGAGCGAAAGCGUGGGGAGCAAACAGG
rnacentral:rRNA from 1 species